AGAUCCGGCAAGGAACGCAACUAGCGGACAAGGAGCACCUUAAGCUAGACGGCAGUUAAUCGAUCGAGGUUUUAGGAGUAGCAAGCGUCUUUCCUUUCAGGUAAAAUAUUUUGACGUGACGGACUUCUAUCCUUGUUCAGAAGUCCGUAUUUUGGAAGUAUGUAAAUAAGAAGACGUCGAUCGAUAGUGCUGCAGUAGAUGUCAAGUCCUAGUUAUGAAUAUGGCUUUGUUAAACGGUUUUAAUGUUUUAUCCAACUCUGAUAUGUAAAUAAAGUUUUAAACUGCGCUUUUAACCGUUUACUAUAUUUUGCAAACCGGGCUAUGCUUGAUGUGUGACAUCGCAUAAUAAGACCCUGGCUUAUCGAACAUCGCUUUCGGACGAUGUUAUAAGUAUUGUAAAUAUUUCAAGUUUAUGAAAAUGUUUAUGAUGGUUUGUUUUGUUUA